rnacentral:rRNA from 1 species
UGCAGUCGAGCGGAGCGGGGAAGUUGCUUGCUACUUUUGCCGGCGAGCGGUGGAUGGGUGAUUAAUGCCUGGCAAAUUGCCCAGUCGAGGGGGAUAACAGUUGGAAACGACUGCUAAUACCGCAUACGCCCUACGGGGGAAAGCUUGGGACCUUGGGGUCUUGCAUGAUUGUAUAUGCCAAGGUGGGAUUAGCUUGGUGAUGAGGUAAUGGCUCAACAAUGCGACGAUGCCUAGAUGGGAUGAGAGGAUGAUCAGCCACUGUGAAACUGACACAAGGUCUACAGUCCUACGGGAGGGGGAAUUGGGGAAUAUUGGACAAUGGGGGAAACCCUGAUGCAGCGAUGCUGAGUGUGGGAAGAAGGUUUUAAGGUUGUAAAGCACUUUCAGAGAGGAAGAAAGGUAGAUACUUAAUAUUUAUAAGCUGUGACGUUACUCGCAAAAGA